ACGUAGGGUGCAAGCGUUAAUCGGAAUUACUGGGCGUAAAGGGUGUGUAGGCGGCUGGUUAAGUCAGGUGUGAAAUCCCGAGGCUCAACUUUGGAACGGUUUUUGAUACUGGUCAGCUUGAGUAUGGUAGAGGAGGGCAGAAUUCCCGUUGGAGCGGUGAAAGGCGUAGAUAUAGGGAGGAAUGCCGGAGGCGUAGGCAGUACUCUAGGAUAGUCCUGACGCUCUGACACGAAAGCGAGGGGAGCAAACGG
rnacentral:rRNA from 1 species